rnacentral:rRNA from 1 species
GACGAACGCUGGCGGCGUGCUUAACACAUGCAAGUCGAACGGAAAGGCCCUGCUUGCAGGGUACUCGAGUGGCGAACGGGUGAGUAACACGUGGGUGAUCUGCCCUGCACUUCGGGAUAAGCCUGGGAAACUGGGUCUAAUACCGGAUAGGAGCCAUUUUUAGUGUGGUGGUUGGAAAGUUUUUUCGGUGUAGGAUGAGCUCGCGGCCUAUCAGCUUGUUGGUGGGGUAAUGGCCUACCAAGGCGGCGACGGGUAGCCGGCCUGAGAGGGUGGACGGCCACAUUGGGACUGAGAUACGGCCCAGACGCCUACGGGAGGCAGCAGUGGGGAAUAUUGCACAAUGGGCGCAAGCCUGAUGCAGCGACGCCGCGUGGGGGAUGACGGCCUUCGGGUUGUAAACUCCUUUCGCUAGGGACGAAGCUUUUUGUGACGGUACCUAGAUAAGAAGCACCGGCUAACUACGUG